GGGGCCGUAGCUCAGACGGGAGAGCGCUUGAAUGGCAUUCAAGAGGUCAGGGGUUCGAUUCCCCUCGGCUCCACCA
rnacentral:tRNA from 2 species